rnacentral:rRNA from 1 species
GAUGAACGCUGGCGGCGUGCCUAAUACAUGCAAGUCGAGCGAAUGGAUUAAGAGCUUGCUCUUAAGAAGUUAGCGGCGGACGGGUGAGUAACACGUGGGUAACCUGCCCAUAAGACUGGGAUAACUCCGGGAAACCGGGGCUAAUACCGGAUAACAUUUUGAACCGCAUGGUUCGAAAUUGAAAGGCGGCUUCGGCUGUCACUUAUGGAUCGACCCGCGUCGCAUUAGCUAGUUGGUGAGGUAACGGCUCACCAAGGCAACGAUGCGUAGCCGACCUGAGAGGGUGAUCGGCCACAGUGGGACUGAGACACGGCCCAGACUCCUACGGGAGGCAGCAGUAGGGAAUCUUCCGCAAUGGACGAAAGUCUGACGGAGCAACGCCGCGUGAGUGAUGAAGGCUUUCGGGUCGUAAAACUCUGUUGUUAGGGAAGAACAAGUGCUAGUUGAAUAAGCUGGCACCUUGACGGUACCUAACCAGAAAGCCACGGCUAACUACGUGCCAGCCGCCGCGGUAA